UCUCUCCGGCUUGAAAGAUAGAGGGUCAUCCCAGCUUUCAGGGUCUCGUCCAAUUGCCCAAACAUUUACAAAGACUUGAGUGUCUUUAGGCAACCCAGGCGGUCCUGGAGGUAGUCUGUAGGAACAUGAUGACUUCUUCCGGGCGAGUAGAAAGACCAAUCCUGGAAUCAGGAAGAUGGCAGACCAAACCAAACAUCUUGGUACAAUUGUGAGCAGGCUGGGGCCAUAUAUCUCACAGUAAUGAAGAAACGGAUGUUCUAUGCAAGAAAAAAAAGUUACCAUUCAAUAUUGGUGCACUACAUUUGCAGAGAUUCUGAAGCCAUAUUGCAUUCAAGUAAGAGUCAAAAUUCUGACCCUUGAAAUCUAUAUUUGAGCCCGGGAAUCUCACAGGCUUGAAUGACAAAUGGUCAUCCCAGCUUUCAGGGUCUCUUCCAAUUUCCCAAACAUUUAUGAAGUUUGAGUAUCUUUAGAGAUUGUGAGGUGACAUUGCAUUCGAGCUCCCAGUCGAAGGCAUGGAGCAGCGAUCCCAGAAUGAAAUGCAGCAUCCGGUUACCUA